AGAAUCAACGCUGGCGGCGUGCCUAACACAUGCAAGUCGAACGAGAAAGUGGAGCAAUCCAUGAGUAAAGUGGCGCACGGGUGAGUAACACGUGACUAACCUACCCUGGAGUGGGGGAUAACUGAGGGAAACCUUAGCUAAUACCGCAUAAUACCUACGGGUCAAAGGAGCAAUUCGCUUUGGGAGGGGGUCGCGGCCGAUUAGUUAGUUGGCGGGGUAAUGGCCCACCAAGACGAUGAUCGGUAUCCGGCCUGAGAGGGCGCACGGACACACUGGAACUGAAACACGGUCCAGACUCCUACGGGAGGCAGCAGUGGGGAAUUUGCGCAAUGGGGGAAACCCUGACGCAGCAACGCCGCGUGGAGGAUGAAGUCCUUCGGGACGUAAACUCCUUUCGAUCGGGACGAUUAUGACGGUACCGGAAGAAGAAGCCCCGGCUAACUUCGCGCCAGCAGCCGC
rnacentral:rRNA from 1 species